AUUGAACGCUGGCGGCAGGCCUAACACAUGCAAGUCGAGCGGAUGACGGGAGCUUGCUCCUUGAUUCAGCGGCGGACGGGUGAGUAAUGCCUAGGAAUCUGCCUGGUAGUGGGGGACAACGUUUCGAAAGGAACGCUAAUACCGCAUACGUCCUACGGGAGAAAGCAGGGGACCUUCGGGCCUUGCGCUAUCAGAUGAGCCUAGGUCGGAUUAGCUAGUUGGUGAGGUAAUGGCUCACCAAGGCGACGAUCCGUAACUGGUCUGAGAGGAUGAUCAGUCACACUGGAACUGAGACACGGUCCAGACUCCUACGGGAGGCAGCAGUGGGGAAUAUUGGACAAUGGGCGAAAGCCUGAUCCAGCCAUGCCGCGUGUGUGAAGAAGGUCUUCGGAUUGUAAAGCACUUUAAGUUGGGAGGAAGGGUUGUACGUUAAUACCGUGCAAUUUUGACGUUACCGACAGAAUAAGCACCGGCUAACUCUGUGCCAGCAGCCGCAGUAAGAC
rnacentral:rRNA from 1 species